rnacentral:rRNA from 1 species
UACGUAGGGUGCAAGCGUUGUCCGGAAUUAUUGGGCGUAAAGAGCUCGUAGGCGGUUUGUCACGUCGGCUGUGAAAACCCGAGGCUCAACCUCGGGCCUGCAGUCGAUACGGGCAGACUAGAGUGCUGUAGGGGAGACUGGAAUUCCUGGUGUAGCGGUGAAAUGCGCAGAUAUCAGGAGGAACACCGGUGGCGAAGGCGGGUCUCUGGGCAGUAACUGACGCUGAGGAGCGAAAGCGUGGGGAGCAAACAGG